AGAGUUUGAUCCUGGCUCAGAACGAACGCUGGCGGCAGGCCUAACACAUGCAAGUCGAGCGCCCCGCAAGGGGGGCGGCGGACGGGUGAGUAACACGUGGGAAUUUUCCUCAAGGUACGGAACAACUCAGGGAAACUUGGGCUAAUACCGUAUGAUGCAGAGAUGCCAAAGAUUUAUCGCCUUGGGAUAAGCCCGCGUCAGAUUAGGUAGUUGGUGAGGUAACGGCUCACCAAGCCUGUGAUCUGUAGCUGGUCUGAGAGGACGAUCAGCCACAUUGGGACUGAGACACGGCCCAAACUCCUACGGGAGGCAGCAGUGGGGAAUCUUGCGCAAUGGGCGAAAGCCUGACGCAGCCAUGCCGCGUGAAUGAUGAAGGUCUUAGGAUUGUAAAGUUCUUUCGCUCGUGACGAUGAUGACGGUAACGAGAGAAGAAGCCCCGGCUAACUUCGUGCCAGCAGCCGCGGUAAUACGAAGGGGGCUAGCGUUGUUCGGAAUCACUGGGCGUAAAGCGCGCGUAGGCGGCUUUGCAAGCCAGAGGUGAAAUGCCUGAGCUCAACUUAGGAAUUGCCUUUGGGACUGCGAGGCUUCGAGGACUGGAGAGGUGAGUGGAAUUCCCAGUGUAGAGGUGAAAUUCGUAGAUAUUGGGAAGAACACCAGUGGCGAAGGCGGCUCACUGGCCAGUUUCUGACGCUAAAGUGCGAAAGCGUGGGGAUCAAACAGGAUUAGAUACCCUGGUAGUCCACGCUGUAAACGAUGAGUGCUAGGCGUCGGCACGCUUGCGUGUCGGUGCCGCAGCUAAC
rnacentral:rRNA from 1 species